UGGCGGCGUGCCUAACACAUGCAAGUCGAACGAGAAAGCGGGGGCAACUCCGCGAGUAAAGUGGCGACCGGGUGAGUAACACGUGACUAACCUGCCCUCGAGUGGGGAAUAACCCCGGGAAACCGGGGCUAAUACCGCAUAACAUCCUCGACACGAAAGUAUUGAGGAUCAAAGGAGCAAUUCGCUUGAGGAGGGGGUCGCGGCCGAUUAGCUAGUUGGUGGGGUAACGGCCCACCAAGGCUCGGAUCGGUAGCCGGCCUGAGAGGGCGCACGGCCACACUGGAACUGAAACACGGUCCAGAGAACCUACGGGAGGCAGC
rnacentral:rRNA from 1 species